ensembl:lncRNA
AUUUUAAAGCCCCUGUAAAUGUGGACGCGUGAGGUUCGACUUCAAACAAGGAAGUGGAAUAGAAUCCAUCGGUCUAUAUGGCUACUGUUUGGCCGUAGCCCACGCCAAAUAAAUGAAACCCACAAGCCUAUCGUGACCUUCUCUUGUGAAGCCUAGACGUAAAAGAGAGAACAAAGGCUAAACCUGGUCUUAACUUCCAAUGCUCCAUCCCCCUGCCCAACCCCCUCCACGCCACUCCACCAACCGCCAGGAUGCCCGGCAUCAGAACAUUCCAGGCAUUCCCGUGAUUGGCAAAAAGCAGGUUGAUUGGCAUGUCGGACCCUGCGAACACUGGUUACUGGAACCAUUGAAGUUAGAAAAAUGGGCUGAAAGAAGAAUACUAAUGUUUUGAUAUUUGAAAAAAUGUUUGUCACCCGGAUGGUCGACCAUAUUUAUGACUAGGGGGAUUGGAAUGACCAAGACUUAAUCAAGGCCUGAACUGUCAUUCCCUCCCAAUGAAAUAAGAAGACAGCUAUGUACCCAAUUCUACUGGACAUUGAAGUGGAGACAACUGCUUUGUCAUCAAGAUGGCGACUGGGAUUUGGGAGCUAAUUGGAUUUUUGAAAAGCUGACUGCUUGGAUUUUUCUGGAUUUUAUUUGACUGUGUCAAUUGGAAUUACUUAAACUUUCACAUGGACUCUUGUGCUGGGGAUUCUUUGGACUCAGUUGUUUGAAUAGGCUAUUGUAAUAGUUGCUUUGACUGCAUUCAAUUAGAGUACUUUUCUACUUCUGUGAUUUCCUAAUGCGCUGUUAUUUAUAUUAAAUAAAACAAUGUUUUUUCACUA